AAAGAAUUAGUUAAUGUGUACAAUAUAAGGGUGUCAACCUUAAGAAUAAUAUAAAUUCCUCA
rnacentral:tRNA from 1 species